rnacentral:tRNA from 1 species
AAAGACUUAGUUAAACAUAUAACAUUAAUUUGUCAAAUUAAAAUAAUUGAAAAAUAGUCUUUG